AGUGAACGCUGGCGGUAGGCCUAACACAUGCAAGUCGAACGGCAGCACAGUAAGAGCUUGCUCUUACGGGUGGCGAGUGGCGGACGGGUGAGGAAUACAUCGGAAUCUACUUUUUCGUGGGGGAUAACGUAGGGAAACUUACUCUAAUACCGCAUACGACCUACGGGUGAAAGCAGGGGAUCUUCGGACCUUGCGCGAUUGAAUGAGCCGAUGUCGGAUUAGCUAGUUGGCGGGGUAAAGGCCCACCAAGGCGACGAUCCGUAGCUGGUCUGAGAGGAUGAUCAGCCACACUGGAACUGAGACACGGUCCAGACUCCUACGGGAGGCAGCAGUGGGGAAUGUUGGGCAAUGGGCGCAAGCCUGAUCCAGCCAUACCGCGUGGGUGAAGAAGGCCUUCGGGUUGUAAAGCCCUUUUGUUGGGAAAGAAAAGCAGCAGGUUAAUACCCCGCUGUUCUGACGGUACCCGAAGAAUAAGCACCGGCUCACUUCGUG
rnacentral:rRNA from 1 species